rnacentral:rRNA from 1 species
AGGACGAACGCUGGCGGCGUGCCUAACACAUGCAAGUCGAGCGAAGCAUAAAUAUUAGCUUGCUAAUAUUUAUGACUGAGCGGCGAACGGGUGAGUAACACGUGGGUGAUCUGCCUGAAAGUCUGGGAUAACAGUUCGAAAGGACUACUAAUACCGGAUGAAGUUAAUAGUGUAGAGCUAUUAAUCAAAGCGUUACGGAGCGCUUUCAGAUGAGCCCGCGUCCCAUUAGCUAGUUGGUGAGGUAAAGGCUCACCAAGGCGACGAUGGGUAGCCGGUCUGAGAGGAUGGUCGGCCACACUGGAACUGAGACACGGUCCAGACUCCUACGGGAGGCAGCAGUGGGGAAUUUUGCGCAAUGGGGGCAACCUUGACGCAGCGACGCCGCGUGAGCGAAGAAGGCCUUCGGGUUGUAAAGCUCUGUCUGGGGGGAAGAUAGUGACGGUACCCCCGGAGGAAGCCCCGGCUAACUACGUGCCAGCAGCCGCGGU